GACGAACGCUGGCGGCGUGCCUAAUACAUGCAAGUAGAACGCUGAAGGAGGAGCUUGCUUCUCUGGAUGAGUUGCGAACGGGUGAGUAACGCGUAGGUAACCUGCCUGGUAGCGGGGGAUAACUAUUGGAAACGAUAGCUAAUACCGCAUAAGAGUAGAUGUUGCAUGACAUUUGCUUAAAAGGUGCAAUUGCAUCACUACCAGAUGGACCUGCGUUGUAUUAGCUAGUUGGUGAGGUAACGGCUCACCAAGGCAACGAUACAUAGCCGACCUGAGAGGGUGAUCGGCCACACUGGGACUGAGACACGGCCCAGACUCCUACGGGAGGCAGCAGUAGGGAAUCUUCGGCAAUGGACGGAAGUCUGACCGAGCAACGCCGCGUGAGUGAAGAAGGUUUUCGGAUCGUAAAGCUCUGUUGUAAGAGAAGAACGAGUGUGAGUGUGGAAAGUUCACACUGUGACGGUAUCUUACCAGAAAGGGACGGCUAACUACGUG
rnacentral:rRNA from 1 species